rnacentral:rRNA from 1 species
CUACGGGGGGCUGCAGUCGAGAAUCUUUUGCAAUGGGCGAAAGCCUGACAAUGCGACGCCGCGUGAGCGAUGAAGGCCUUUGGGUUGUAAAGCUCUGUUUACUGGGAAGAAACUUUAUAGGUUAAUAGCUUAUAGAGGUGACGGUACCAGUGGAGGAAGCCACAGCUAACUACGUGCCAGCAGCUGCGGUAAUACGUAGGUGGCAAGCGUUGUUCGGAUUUAUUGGGUGUAAAGGGCAUGUAGGUGGUUAGGCAAGUCGUUUGUGAAAUCUUUUGGCUCAACCAAAAAAUUGCAAACGAAACUACUUGACUUGAGGUUGGGAGAGGAGAGCGGAAUUCCCGGUGUAAGGGUGAAAUCUGUAGAUAUCGGGAGGAACAUCAGUGGCGAAGGCGGCUCUCUGGACCAAUUCUGACACUGAUAUGCGAAAGCUGGGGGAGCAAACAGGAUUAGAUACCCGAGUAGUC